rnacentral:rRNA from 1 species
CCUACGGGUGGCUGCAGUGGGGAAUAUUGGACAAUGGGGGGAACCCUGAUCCAGCGACGCCGCGUGAGUGAAGAAGUAUUUCGGUAUGUAACGCUCUAUCAGCAGGGAAGCAAAUGCCGGUACCUGACUAAGAAGCCCCGGCUAACUCCGUGCCAGCAGCCGCGGUAAUACGGGGGAUCCGAGCGUUAUCCGGAUUCAUUGGGUUUAAAGGGUGCGUAGGUUGGUUUAUAAGUUAGCCGUGAAAGAGCGAUGCUCAACAUCGGGGCGGCCGCUGAUACUGUAGGACUAGAGAGCGGAUGCAGCAGGCGGAAUGUGUAGUGUAGCGGUGAAAUGCAUAGAUAUUACGCAGAACACCGAUUGCGAAGGCAGCUUGCUAGGCCGGGUCUGACACUGAUGCACGAAAGCGUGGGGAUCGAACAGGAUUAGAUACCCGAGUAGUC